rnacentral:rRNA from 1 species
CCUACGGGGGGCUGCAGUAAGGAAUAUUGGUCAAUGGAGGAAACUCUGAACCAGCCAUCCCGCGUGAAGGAUGAAGGGGCUCUGCCUUGUAAACUUCUUUUGUCUGGGGCGAAAAAGCUCGAUUUAUCGAGCACUGACGGUACCAGAAGAAUAAGCACCGGCUAACUCCGUGCCAGCAGCCGCGGUAAUACGGAGGGUGCAAGAAUCAUCCGGAAUCACUGGGGUGUAGGCGGGUUAGUACGGCUGAGGUGAAAGGCGGUGGCUUAACCAUGGAAUUGCCAUUGAUACUGCAGAGCUUGAAUGAGGUUGAGGUUGGCGGAAUGUGACAUGUAGCGGUGAAAUGCUUAGAUAUGUCAUGGAACACCGAUUGCGAAGGCAGCUGACUGGACCUAUAUUGACGCUGAGGCACGAAAGCGUGGGGAGCGAACAGGAUUAGAUACCCCUGUAGUC